UCGAGGGGUAACGGAAGUAGCUUGCUACUAGACGACGACCGGCGCACGGGUGAGUAACGCGUAUGUAAUCUGCCUUGUACAGAGGGAUAGCCCAGAGAAAUUUGGAUUAAUACCUCAUAGUAUUACUGAAUCGCAUGAUUCGGUAAUUAAAGCUCCGGCGGUACAAGAUGAACAUGCGUGACAUUAGCUAGUUGGUAAGGUAACGGCUUACCAAGGCAACGAUGUCUAGGGGUUCUGAGAGGAUGAUCCCCCACACUGGUACUGAGACACGGACCAGACUCCUACGGGAGGCAGCAGUGAGGAAUAUUGGUCAAUGGACGCAAGUCUGAACCAGCCAUCCCGCGUGAAGGAUGACUGCCCUAUGGGUUGUAAACUUCUUUUAUAUGCAAAUAAACCUACUUUCGUGAAAGUAGCUGAAGGUAGCAUAUGAAUAAACACCGGCUAACUCCGUGCCAGCAGCCGCGGUAAUA
rnacentral:rRNA from 1 species